ensembl:lncRNA
AUAUUCCUACUGUCUCCAUAAGUUCAGAGGACGAGGUACAUUUUCUAAAAUGUAUUAGUGUUCGUUUCAAUGUAUUAGUUUCUUCUGCUUUCUUCUUUUGAUCUGUUGGUUAUUUAAAUCAUUCACUGUUUUUCUGUAUGUAGUCUCUAACUUUGGAGGAGAAGUUUCCUGUGCCUUUUGCUGCAAAGGUAAAAUGGUCUAUAGUCUACCAUGUGAACCGUCUUUUCCAUUUAGUAGUAGUUUGGGGUGGACAUUAUGUGUAACUUCUGUACACAUGCUUCCAAUCCAUCAGGUACUGACGCAACAGAUCCGCAAUGAUGUGGACAAAGACGCGGUCUUGAUCAGCAUUGGAAGUUGUCGUGCCACGUUUCGCGACUUAGACAGUCUGGCAGGCCCAGAGUUCAACUGGCUGACCGAUGAUGUAAGUAAAACUUAGAAAUACAUUUUUAUUUUACUUUUUUCCUAUCAUGUUGUCAUCAAAUUUCUUUUUCUUUCUUGUAGAUUGUGAAUACGUGCGUUGCAGUGAUUGCUGCAGAUCACAAACAACGUUCCACUGUAAGUAGUUUCUAUUUUCUCUCUAGUCUGACAACCUACCAGUAUCUGUUAUUGUUUUGUGGAAGUUUACUCUGGGUUUUUUUGUUUUCACAGGACAAAGCCGUGUUCCACGCCCUUACCACAGACGCAUACACGUUGUGGUGUCGUGACUGGACAGCACAUAGUUGUGUUACGGAAAGAACUUUAAGCUGUAUCAAUGGCAUUAAGCCAGAUGGCGUGGUGCUACUGCCCCGUCUCGUUGGUCUGCGUUAAAAUAAAGCUUUACAGGUUUGGUCAGCGGACACCUGGGUUUAAAUGCGUUGUACUGUAGCUUUACAGGUUCGGUUAGAUAAGGUAAAGUUGUGCCCUGCUGCUGGCGUUCCCUAGUCAAUGCCAGUCACUUGGAGUUAGACAUGCCUUGCUUCUGUCACCGGUCACAUGGGUUAGACUUUGUCUUACAGGUGUGGUUAGCGCACACCUGGGGUUAGAAAGAUGUGCCUUGUUUUUACUGUCUUACAGGUGUGGUCAGCGAGCAGUGCGUGCGUUGCGCUUGUAGGAAGUCCUUUACGGUUCCCAAGUGCGGCGUGCAAUCUGUCAGCGCACACCUGGGGUUAG